AUGGGGCCAUCGCAUGGUGGUUUCGAGUUCUUGAAGGGCAGCUUCGAAGGGAUCAAGGGAUACGCUGUGGGCUGGAUGACCAAGAGCCGUCGCGGCAAGCUCUACAUCGACGAUGUAGGCUGGGGCCCCGAGGCCGGCUUAAUUGAGUACGGGUACCAGGUCCCCUUCGAUGGAAUUCACGUCUUCAUCGGCAAGAUCAGUGAGCCGGGACUUGAGCCGGACAUCUGCACCGACAUCAUUGAGAUGGCUCAGCGUGCAAGACCCGCCCGAGCUCAACCCGCCGUGAAGCGUGCCUUCUUGGGAUGCGUCCAUGGAGGGGAAUUUGAUGAAGGAUCUAUGUCUGGCGGUGAGACGGCCAUCUACUCGGAUGGUGAGUUGUCCACGGGCGAGACUACUUUGUUGUAUCAGCUGCAAGAUGAUAGGCUUGGGGGCUAUUCCGAUGGCGACAGUAUUCCGGACCCUUAUGAGCCGCCGAAUCGGUUUGCAAUCUUUAUGGCUGGGACGCAGCCUGUGCAGACUUCCUCAACCAUGCCAGCAAUGACCUCCGGGUCAACAGCAACAAUGGCAGCUGGGGCAGGAGGUCCUGUGCGCCCGUCGGCUUAA
rnacentral:rRNA from 1 species